rnacentral:rRNA from 1 species
GAUGAACGCUGGCGGCGUGCCUAAUACAUGCAAGUCGAGCGAACAGACGAGGAGCUUGCUCCUCUGACGUUAGCGGCGGACGGGUGAGUAACACGUGGAUAACCUACCUAUAAGACUGGGAUAACUUCGGGAAACCGGAGCUAAUACCGGAUAAUAUAUUGAACCACAUGGUUCAAUAGUGAAAGACGGUUUUGCUGUCACUUAUAGAUGGAUCCGCGCCGCAUUAGCUAGUUGGUAAGGUAACGGCUUACCAAGGCGACGAUGCGUAGCCGACCUGAGAGGGUGAUCGGCAACACUGGAACUGAGACACGGUCCAGACUCCUACGGGAGGCAGCAGUAGGGAAUCUUCCGCAAUGGGCGAAAGCCUGACGGAGCAACGCCGCGUGAGUGAUGAAGGUCUUCGGAUCGUAAAACUCUGUUAUUAGGGAAGAACAAAUGUGUAAGUAACUAUGCACGUCUUGACGGUACCUAAUCAGAAAGCCACGGCUAACUACGUG